rnacentral:tRNA from 1 species
AUCCUGGUAGCUAAGUGGUUUAAGGCGGUAGGUUGCAACCCUAUCAUUCGUGAGUUCGAAUCUCACCCAGGAUU